GUGAGGAUCUGCCUACAGGACUGGGACAACAGCUGGAAACGGCUGCUAAAACCGGAUGUGCCGAGAGGUGAAAUAUUUAUAGCCUGUAGAUGAGCUCGCGUCUGAUUAGCUAGUUGGUGAGGUAAGGGCUCACCAAGGCGACGAUCAGUAGCUGGUCUGAGAGGACGAUCAGCCACACUGGGACUGAGACACGGCCCAGACUCCUACGGGAGGCAGCAGUGGGGAAUUUUCCGCAAUGGGCGAAAGCCUGACGGAGCAAUACCGCGUGAGGGAGGAAGGUCUGUGGAUUGUAAACCUCUUUUGAUAGGGAAGAAGUUCUGACGGUACCUAUCGAAUCAGCAUCGGCUAACUCCGUGCCAGCAGCCGCGGUAAUACGGAGGAUGCAAGCGUUAUCCGGAUUUAUUGGGCGUAAAGCGUCCGUAGGUGGUUAUUCAAGUCUAUUGUCAAAGCCUGGGGCUUAACCCUGGAGAGGCGGUGGAAACUGAAUGACUAGAGUGCGGUAGGGGCAGAGGGAAUUCCCAGUGUAGCGGUGAAAUGCGUAGAUAUUGGGAAGAACACCGGUGGCGAAAGCGCUCUGCUGGGCCUGCACUGACACUGAGGGACGAAAGCUAGGGGAGCGAAAGGGAUUAGAUACCCCU
rnacentral:rRNA from 1 species